rnacentral:rRNA from 1 species
GUUUUAUNNUGCCUCAGAUUGAACGCUGGCGGCAUGCCUUACACAUGCAAGUCGAACGGUAACAGGUCUUCGGAUGCUGACGAGUGGCGAACGGGUGAGUAAUACAUCGGAACGUGCCCAGUAAUGGGGGAUAGCUCGGCGAAAGCCGGAUUAAUACCGCAUACGCCCUGAGGGGGAAAGUGGGGGACCGCAAGGCCUCACGUUAUU